rnacentral:misc_RNA from 1 species
UUGUUUAAUUUACUUAAACUCCGACGCAGAGAUGCAGUGUUGGAAGGCCUCCGGGGGCGCUCGCCGCGAACGGCAGGGUCGCCCCCGAAGCAACAAGUUGUGUUCACAAAGGGUUGGAGGCCGGGGCACGAAGUGGCAUAUUUAGACCACCGCGUGUCCUUCGGAACUCGGUAAUGAUCCCUCCGCAGGUUCACCUACGGAGA